AAGGCUUCAUAUGCCCAUGUAUCAUCUUUGCAGUCCCAAGCCAUCAAUCUACCUUUACCCCAAGGUCAAAAUUAUCUCCUCCGUUUUUGCCAACCCUAAACCCUCCUCAGGCUUCUUUCGAUUCCCCUCCAAUCUUUCUCUCUCAAAUCUAAGGAUCUCCAUUUCUCAUCAACAUCUCUGCGGAGGACCAAGACGAUCUCCUCCUUUAUCUUCUUCCGAUGGUUCGUGCCAAUCCGUUCUCUUCUUCCGAUGGUUCAUAUCAAUCCAUGAUGCUGAGUUUCCCAUCUGUGCGUUGAUCACGAAGGCAGUCCCAAUUCUUCAUGAUGAUUUGGUUUUAUCCAAUAUUCGUUGCUAAAUUUUCCAUCUAUCAUGAAGAAGAGCAGGGAAGUAGCAUCAUAUCCUGUCAUGUUCGAUAUCUUAAAGAUGCAAAAAAUCUUAGAAAGAAGAGGAGAAAAUGACUCGAUGAAGAUCUAAUGAAUAGGAGAGAUGGCAUGCGGGAUUGAAAGAGGAGAAGAUCUUACGGACGGAAAAAAUGGUUUGAUGAGGAAGAUAAUGAAUGGAGAGACUUGAUGAGGAAGAGAAUAUAGGUGAUUAUAAAGGGUGUCUCUUAGGCAUGUAUUUUUUUUAUUUUUAUUAUUUCAGUUAUGAAACUAACGAGCUCCGUUAGUAGAAGAAAUUCAAUCUCUAUUUGAUUUAUAAGUUUUUUUUUAAAAUGCAAACUAUGGUACCUGCCUCAUAAGAUUUUUGUUCAGCUUUAAGGCCUUGAUGUAAUCAAAAUUUCACGGCAAAUGCAGUUGGGCUUAUAGAUGUCAGCAUCGGUGUUGUCUAUAAUCCCUGUUUCUUUUCUUCCAUCUCUGCUGCUGCAGCUGUUGGAAGAAAAUAAUCCUGUUGGUUAAUGAAACAGUGGCAAUCUUAUUAUAAUCGAAGAAUUACAUUUCUAGUUGGUAACAAAAAGCCCUUACAAGUAUUAGGUAUAAUCAAAAUAUUCCUGUCCUCAGAUAUCUGACUCAUGAGGU